rnacentral:tRNA from 3 species
CUUAGCUCAGUUGGUAGAGCAACUGACUCUUAAUCAGUGGGUCCAGGGUUCGAGUCCCUG